CCUACGGGGGGCAGCAGUGAGGAAUAUUGGUCAAUGGGCGCGAGCCUGAACCAGCCAAGUCGCGUGAGGGAAGACGGUCCUAUGGAUUGUAAACCUCUUUUGUCUGGGAGCAAAAGACGCCACGCGUGCCGUUCCGAGAGUACCCGAAGAAAAAGCAUCGGCUAACUCCGUGCCAGCAGCCGCGGUAAUACGGAGGAUGCGAGCGUUAUCCGGAUUUAUUGGGUUUAAAGGGUGCGCAGGCGGAUGAUGAAGUCAGCGGUAAAAUUGUGAGGUUCAACCUCUUCGAGCAGUUGAAACUGGUAGUCUUGAGUGAGUGAGAAGUAUGCGGAAUGCGUGGUGUAGCGGUGAAAUGCAUAGAUAUCACGCAGAACUCCGAUUGCGAAGGCAGCAUACCGGCGUGCAACUGACGCUGAUGCACGAAAGUGUGGGUAUCGAACAGGAUUAGAUACCCGGGUAGUC
rnacentral:rRNA from 1 species